AAUCAGUCUUGCAAGCAGUAUACUCCAUGUGGCUGCCAGUUUAUGUGCGGAAAGCAAUGCACCUGUCUACGUAACGGAACUUGCUGCGAAAAGUACUGUGGGUGCUCGAAGAGCAGCAAGAAUCGUUUUAGGGGAUGUCAUUGUGCAAAAAGUCAGUGCAGAAGUAGGCAAUGCCCCUGCUUUGCUGCUGGACGUGAAUGUGAUCCAGAUGUUUGCCGGAACUGCUGGGUGAGUUGUGGAGAUGGUUCAUUGGGUGAGCCCCCCAGGCGGGGUGAGGGCCUAUGUUGAAACAUGAGGCUCCUGCUAAGGCAGCAGCAAAGAGUGAGUGAAUCUUAUGGCGGAUAAGUAUUAGUUUAUUAUAUGUGCAAAACAGAGAUGCAUGGUCUUACUACAUUUUGGUUUUUUAUGCGAUUCAGAGCCUCUUGGCCAAAU